rnacentral:rRNA from 1 species
UACGGAGGGUGCGAGCGUUGUCCGGAAUCAUUGGGCGUAAAGGGCGCGUAGGUGGCCCGGUCAGUUCGUGGUGAAAGCGCGGGGCUCAACCCUGCGUCGGCCAUGAAUACUGCCGCGGCUGGAGCACUGUAGAGGCAGGCGGAAUUCCGGGUGUAGCGGUGGAAUGCGUAGAGAUCCGGAAGAACACCGGUGGCGAAGGCGGCCUGCUGGGCAGUUGCUGGACACUGAGGCGCGGACAGCGUGGGGAGCAAACAGG